GCUCUAUUAUAUUUGGAUUCGAAUUCACUGCGAACGUAUACCAGAUCCUGGUGAACUUCCAGGAAGUUUAAUACUCUCUGGUGACUGUUGAAAACUAAAAAAAAGUCGUCUGAUCCACCAGAAAAAUAUGGAUUAACUGGGAAGGUGUUUGGUCUGCAAUCAAGAACUAGGUAAAAAAAAGAAAAGGAAUGCACCACCAUGUACCUGAGCAAUCAAGCUGGAGUAUCUCUAGUCUGAUUAGCUAGUGAUAUCCCAACAUCAAGUCUGUGCUGUACCUUUUGUCUUUGACAUGGGCAAUAUCUAAUGUGGUGGGUCAGUAAGAAGAGCUUCUUGCCCACAUUAGUAC
rnacentral:lncRNA from 12 species